CGCCCCCUAUUCGUCAUCAUUGAGUAAACUUUGACCCGGAACCUCACAUUCAGCAGACACAUCCUGGGAGGGAGAGUCUGCUGCUGAUUGGCUGGAAUGUGUCUGCUGACUGUGAGGUUCCGGGUCAAAGUGUACUCAAUGAUGACGAAUAGGGGGCG